GACGAACGCUGGCGGCGUGCUUAACACAUGCAAGUCGAACGGAAAGGCCCCCUUGUGGGGUACUCGAGUGGCGAACGGGUGAGUAACACGUGAGUAACCUACCCUUGACUUUGGGAUAACUUCAGGAAACUGGGGCUAAUACCGGAUAGGAGCUCCUGCUGCAUGGUGGGGGUUGGAAAGUUUCGGCGGUUGGGGAUGGACUCGCGGCUUAUCAGCUUGUUGGUGGGGUAGUGGCUCACCAAGGCUUUGACGGGUAGCCGGCCUGAGAGGGUGACCGGCCAUAUUGGGACUGAGAUACGGCCCAGACUCCUACGGGAGGCAGCAGUGGGGAAUAUUGCACAAUGGGCGGAAGCCUGAUGCAGCAACGCCGCGUGCGGGAUGACGGCCUUCGGGUUGUAAACCGCUUUCGCCUGUGACGAAGCGUGAGUGACGGUAAUGGGUAAAGAAGCACCGGCUAACUACGUG
rnacentral:rRNA from 1 species